rnacentral:pre_miRNA from 10 species
CUGGCCCUCACCCAGUGGCAAAUAUCUCGCUGCGGCCUCCAAAUAUUGUGACCGAGUAAGUUACAGAGAAAACGCCACACUUUGAGACAAAUUCAGGAGUCCUUUAUUAA